rnacentral:rRNA from 1 species
CACCAGCAAAUCAUCAGCCAGCUGAGCCAGCGGUGACCAUGACCAUGAACCACGCCAGCACAUGGGUAUAGCUGCCAUAGGCCUCUGCGCCAAGCCACCUGGCAAGGAGAAUCGAAAUCAACAGAGUCAGUCCAAUGUGACCAAGAUGGAUGACAAGGGUUCCGAGUGUGCCGCGCGACAGGUGUCGUUGAAGAUCCAUU